UCAAGCGACUAAGUGUAUGCGGCGGAUGCCUUGGCGAUCAUAGGCGAAGAAGGACGUGUAAGCCUGCGAAAAGCUGCGGGGAGUUGGCAAAAGAACUUUGAUCCGCAGAUAUCCGAAUGGGGAAACCCUCCAAUUUAUUGGAAUUCAUAACUGAAUACAUAGGUUAUGAAGGCGAACGCAGUGAACUGAAACAUCUAAGUAACUGCAGGAAAAGAAAUCAACCGAGAUUGCGGAAGUAGCGGCGAGCGAAACCGCACCAGCCUAGUCAUUGAUAAUUCUGAUCAACAGCAGAACGACCUGGGAAGGUCGGCUACAGAGGGUGACAGCCCCGUAUGCGAAGUUGAUGGAAUGGUACUGAGGUGACGAAAAGUAGGGCGGGACACGUGACAUCCUGUCUGAAGAUGGGGGGACCAUCCUCCAAGGCUAAAUACUCAUGAUCGACCGAUAGCGAACCAGUACUGUGAAGGAAAGGCGAAAAGAACCCCGGGAGGGGAGUGAAAUAGAACCUGAAACUGCAUACAUACAAACAGUAGGAGCCCGCAAGGGUGACUGCGUACCUUUUGCAUAAUGGGUCAGCGACUUACGUUUUGCGGCGAGCUUAACCGAGUAGGGGAGGCGCAGCGAAAGCGAGUUCGAACAGAGCGACAGAGUCGUAAGGCGUAGACCCGAAACCAGAUGAGCUAUCCAUGGUCAGGUUGAAGGUGUGGUAACACACACUGGAGGACCGAACCGACCGGUGUUGCAAAACCGGCGGAUGAACUGUGGAUAGGGGUGAAAGGCUUAACAAAUCUGGAGAUAGCUGGUUCUCCCCGAAAACUAUUGAGGUAGUGCCUCGUGAAUGACUGCCGGGGGUAGAGCACUGUUAUGGCUAGGGGGACAUGGCGUCUUACCAAACCAUGGCAAACUCCGAAUACUGGCAAGUUGAAUCACGGGAGACAGAGCACCGGGUGCUAACGUCCGGACUCAAAAGGGAAACAACCCAGACCGCCGUUUAAGGUCCCUAAUAACAGCUAAGUGGAAAACGAAGUGUGAAGGCUAAGACAGUCAGGAAGUUGGCUUAGAAGCAGCCAUCCUUCAAAGAAAGCGUAAUAGCUCACUGAUCGAGUCCUCAUGCGCGGAAGAUGUAACGGGGCUAAGCUGUUAACCGAAAGCGCGGAUUUCCAAGCAAUUGGAAGUGGUAGGGGAGCGUUCUGUAAGCCGACGAAGGUGAUUCGUAAGGAUUGCUGGAGGUAUCAGAAGUGCGAAUGCUGACAUGAGUAACGAUAAAGCGGGUGAAAAGCCCGCUCGCCGUAAGCCCAAGGUUUCCUGCUCUACGUUCAUCGGAGCAGGGUGAGUCGGCCCCUAAGGCCAGGCUGAGAAGCGUAGUCGAUGGGAAGCUGAUUAAUAUUUCAGCACCACUGUUGAGUGCGAAGGGGGGACGGAGUUUUGCAAGUAAUCCGGGUGUUGGAUGUCCCGGUUGGCGAGCGUAGGAGGUGAGCAGGCAAAUCCGCUCACGAAUCUCCGAGACGAAGCCUCGAGGUCCUUUAGGACUGAAGUUACCGAAUGAACUUCCAGGAAAAGCCUCUAAGCUCCAGCUCAACGGUGACCGUACCGUAAACCGACACAGGUGGGCGAGUUGAAUAUACUCAGGCGCUUGAGAGAACUCGGGAGAAGGAACUCGGCAAAUUGACACCGUAACUUCGGGAUAAGGUGUGCCUUGGUAGCGUGAAAGGAGAAACUCCCCAAGCGCGAAGAGGUCACAGAAAAUAGGGGGCUGCGACUGUUUACUAAAAACACAGCACUCUGCAAAGACGAAAGUCGACGUAUAGGGUGUGAUGCCUGCCCGGUGCCGGAAGAUUAAGUGAUGGGGUGAGAGCUCCUGAUCGAAGUCCCGGUAAACGGCGGCCGUAACUAUAACGGUCCUAAGGUAGCGAAAUUCCUUGUCGGGUAAGUUCCGACCUGCACGAAUGGCGUAACGACUUCCCCACUGUCUCCAACAUAGACUCAGCGAAAUUGAACUCUGAGUUAAGAUGCUCAGUACCCGCGGUUAGACGGAAAGACCCCGUGCACCUUUACUAUAGCUUUGCAGUGGUGUUAGGUAAGAAAUGUGUAGAAUAGGUGGGAUGCUAUGAAGCAGGGACGCUAGUCCUUGUGGAGCAGUCUUUGAAAUACCACCCUUUUGUUAUUUGACAUCUAACCUCGUACCCUAAACGGGUAUAGGGACCCUGCAUGGUGGGUAGUUUGACUGGGGCGGUCGCCUCCCAAAAUGUAACGGAGGCAUGCAAAGGUUCCCUCAGGCUGAUUGGAAACCAGCCGUCGAGUGCAAACGCAAAAGGGAGCUUGACUGCAAGAGAGACAUCUCGAGCAGGUACGAAAGUAGGUGUUAGUGAUCCGGUGAUCCCGAAUGGAAGGGUCAUCGCUCAUUGGAUAAAAGGUACGCCGGGGAUAACAGGCUGAUUCCGCCCAAGAGUUCACAUCGACGGCGGAGUUUGGCACCUCGAUGUCGGCUCAUCACAUCCUGGGGCUGGAGAAGGUCCCAAGGGUUCGGCUGUUCGCCGAUUAAAGUGGUACGCGAGCUGGGUUUAGAACGUCGUGAGACAGUUCGGUCCCUAUCUGCCGUGGGCGCUGGAGAACUGAGGGGGGCUGCUCCUAGUACGAGAGGACCGGAGUGGACGCAUCACUGGUGUUCGGGUUGUCAUGCCAAUGGCACUGCCCGGUAGCUAAAUGCGGAAGAGAUAAGUGCUGAAAGCAUCUAAGCACGAAACUUGCCCCGAGAUGAGUUCUCCCUGACUCCUUGAGAGUCCUGAAGGAACGUUGAAGACGACGACGUUGAUAGGCCGGGUGUGUAAGCGCAGCGAUGCGUUGAGCUAACCGGUACUAAUGAACCGUGAGGCUUAACCUU
rnacentral:rRNA from 1 species